rnacentral:rRNA from 1 species
GGAGCUAACGCGUUAAGUCGACCGCCUGGGGAGUACGGCCGCAAGGUUAAAACUCAAAUGAAUUGACGGGGGCCCGCACAAGCGGUGGAGCAUGUGGUUUAAUUGGAUGCAACGCGAAGAACCUUACUUACUCUUGACAUCCAGAGAACUUAGCAGAGAUGCUUUGGUGCCUUCGGGAACUCUGAGACAGGUGCUGCAUGGCUGUCGUCAGCUCGUGUUGUGAAAUGUUGGGUUAAGUCCCGCAACGAGCGCAACCCUUAUCCUUUGUUGCCAGCGGUCCGGCCGGGAACUCAAAGGAGACUGCCAGUGAUAAACUGGAGGAAGGUGGGGAUGACGUCAAGUCAUCAUGGCCCUUACGAGUAGGGCUACACACGUGCUACAAUGGCGCAUACAAAGAGAAGCGACCUCGCGAGAGCAAGCGGACCUCAUAAAGUGCGUCGUAGUCCGGAUUGGAGUCUGCAACUCGACUCCAUGAAGUCGGAAUCGCUAGUAAUCGUAGAUCAGAAUGCUACGGUGAAUACGUUCCCGG